GAGGAUAUAGCUCAUUGGUAGAGCACUUGCCUCACAUGCACAAGGCCUUGGGUUCAAUCCCCAGCACCACUA
rnacentral:tRNA from 1 species